rnacentral:lncRNA from 1 species
GAAUGAGAGCUUAUGAAUGUGGGGGAGGCGGAGCUUAUGGAGGGGGCGGAGCCACCCAAAGCCCCGCCCACCUGUAGGUGUACAGCCCCGGCCCGGUGCUCCCCGCUCCUCCCCCCGGUGCCCCCCCGCAUGAUUACUUGCCCAUCGCCGUGCUCACCACCCUCUGCUGCUUCUGGCCCACCGGCGUCGUCGCCAUCGUCAAGGCCGUGCAGGUUGGGGGGGACGGGGGAGGGGGACAUUGGGAUUUUGGGGUCCUUCAUUGGGAUUUUGGGGUCUUUCUUGUGUCUGUGAGAUCAUUUGUUGGAGUCUUGUGGUCAUUUGUUGCGUUCUUCGGGCUCUCCGUUGAGUUUUGGGGUCAUUCAUUGGGAUUUUGCGGUCAUUUGUUGGGGUUUUGGGGUCUUUCUUGUGUCGAUGGGGUCAUCCGUCGGAGUCUUGUGGUCAUUGUGUGGGUUCUUGGGGCUCUCGGUUGAUUUUGGGGGUCACUCAUUGGGAUUUUGGGGUCAUUUGUUGGGAUUUUGGGGUCAUUUGUUGGCUUUUGGGGACGUUCAUUGGGGUCCUGUGGUCGUUGUGUGGGUUUUUGGGGGCUCUCCGUUGAGUUUUGGGGUCUCUCAUUGGGAUUUUGGGGUCAGUUGUUGGGGUUUUGGGGACUUUCUUGUCCUCCGUUGGAGCCUUGUGGUUGCUGUGUGGGUUUUUGGGGUUCUCCGUUGAAUUUGGGGGUCAUUUAUUGGAUUUGGGGGUCAUUUAUUGGGUUUUGGGGAUGUUCCUUGGGGUUUUGUGGUCGUUGUGUGGGUUUUGGAGGCUCUCUGUUGAGAUUUGGGGUCAUUCAUUGGGAUUUUGGGGUCGUUCAUUGGGAUUUUGGGGCCAUUUGUUGGUGUUCUGUGGUCAUUGUGUGGGUUUUUGGGCUCUCAGUUGAGUCUUGGGGUCAUUCACUGGGAUUUUGGGGUCAUUUGUUGGGUUUUGGGGUCUUCCGUUGGGUUUUGGUUGAGGUCAGUUGGGGUUUUGGGGUGUUUUGUUGGGGUUUGGGGGUCUCCUGUUUGGGUUUUGGGGUCUUCUGUUGGGUUUUGGUUGAGGUUGGUUGGGGUUUUGGGGUCUUCCGUUGGGUUUUGGUUGAGGUCGGUUGGGGUUUCGGGGUCUCCGCUUUGGGUUUUGGGGUCACCUGUUGGGUUCUGGUUGAGGUCGGUUGGGGUUUUGGGGUCACUCCUUUGGGUUUUGGGGUCACCCAUUGGGUUCUGGUUGAGGUCAGUAGGGGCUUUGGGGUCUUCCAUUGGGUUUUGGUUGAGGUCGGUUGGCGUUUUGGGGUCUCCCCUUUGGGUUUUGGGGUCUUCCGUUGGGUUUUGGUCGAGGUCCAUUGGGGUUUUGGGGCAUUUUGUUGGGAUUUGGGGGUCUUCUGGGUUCUGAUUGACAUCUGUUGGGUUUUUGGGGUCUUCUUUUGGGUUUUUGGGGUCUUGUGUCGGGUUUUGAUUGACGUCGGUUGCGUUCUUGGGGUCUUCCGUUGGGUUUUGGUUGAGGUCGGUUGGGGUUUUGGGGUCUCCCCUUUGGGUUUUGGGGUCUUCCGUUGGGUUUUGGUUGAGGUCAGUUGGGGUUUGGGGGCAUUUCGUUGGGAUUUUGAGGUCUUCCAUUCGACUGUUGGGGUCUGUUCUUGGGGUUUUGGGGUCUCCUGCUGGGUUUUUGGGGUCUACUCUUGGGCUUUUGGGGUCUUUGUUGAGCCCCGUUGGGUUCUUGUUGACAUCGGUGGGGUUUUCGGGGUUCUCCGUGGGGUUUUUGGGGCAAAUUGUUGGGUUUUGGGGGCAAAUUGUUGGGUUUUCGGGGCCGUGCGUUGGGAUCUUGGGGUCCUUGGUUGCAUUUUGGGGGUCCCAGGGCCCCCUGUGGGGAUCCCUCAUCUCAUUGGUGGAAUCCCCGCUGCCCUCACCGUCCCACGUGACCCACACGUCCCCACCCCCAGCCCCACACGGCGCCCGGAGCCACGCCCCCUCGCUGCGCCAAUCCCACGAGUCCUCAUUGGCUGACGCCGGCCGUGCCAAUACCUGAUUGGACACCGCCGGCAUCACAGCUGCGACCCCAUUGGUCGGCCCCGUGCGGGCAGCGCUCCCGUUGGCCAACGCGGCGCCAUCUCUUCCCUCAUUGGCCAGGCCUGCCGGCACUUGUCGCUGAUUGGCCGCCGCCCUGUGGGCUGAAGCUCCGCCUUCCAUCACAGCCAAUGGGAUCCUGGGCUGUGGGAGAAAAGGAAUGGGGCAAGCUUAGGGGGCGGGGCAUGAGGAGUGGGCGUGGCUGGGGGCGUGGUCAAAGGGGGGCGUGGCCACACAAAGGGGGCGUGGCCACCCCAAGGGCUGGGGCGCACUAAGAGGUGUGCCCAUCACCGGGGGGGCGUGGCUACAGCAGUGGGCGUGGCCAAACGAAGGGGUGGGGCCUCAGAGAGGGGCGUGGCCACAUCAAAAGACACGUGGUCUCCAAGGGGGCGUGGCCACGUUGAUAAAGGGCGUGGCCUCGCAUUGGGGGGUGGGCACAGAAGGGGGCGUGGCCUCCCAACGGGGCGUGGCCACAGAAAAUGGGCGUGGCCUCCAGGGGGUGUGUGGGCAUGAUAAUAGGGCGGGGACUCAAAUGGGGGAGUGGCCUCCAAGAGGGGGCGUGGUCUCAGAGUUGGGGCGUGGCCUCAAAUGGGGCGUGGCCACACGAAGGGGGCGUGGUCUUCUGGGGGCGUGGGCACACCAAAGGGGCGUGGCCAACCGGGGGCGUGGCCACAUUGAAUGGCCGUGGCCUCUAAGGGGGCGGGGCCACAACAAGGUCCAAUGGGGUGUGGCCACAGCACAGGGGCGUGGUCUCAGAGGGGGGCGUGGUCACACCCGAGGGGCGUGGCCUCAAAUGGGGCGUGGCCACAACGAAAGGGGCGUGGCCACACGAAAGGGGCGUGGCCACACGAAGGGGGCGUGGUCUCAUGUGGGCGUGGGCACACCAAAGGGGUUUGGCCAACUGGGGGGCGUGGACACAUUGAAUGGGCGUGGCCUCAAAUGGGGCGUGGCCACAACGAAAGGGGCGUGGCCACAACGAAAGGGGCGUGGCCAACUGGGGGGCGUGGCCACAUCAAAUGGGUGCGGCUCCAAGGGGUGAGGCCACAUUUAAAAGGGCGUGGCCUCUCGGGGGCGUGGCCACAAUAAAGGGGCGUGGCCAACCA